ensembl:lncRNA
GAGGGCUCAAGAUCCAGCUCUGCAGAUAAACUUAAGAGACAGGGAGAAAAGAGAGUCGCAAGGAAGCCUGGCAAUCAGCGGCACCAGAAGCAGGAGCAACCAUGUACAUUAGAGCUCUGAAAAAUGGGACUAAUUGCUCUUUGGAGCCAAAGAGGUGUGAUUCGAAGACGUGUGGGUCCGUCCAACACAUACGCUCUUCAUAUUUUGCGGAACCACCUAAGGGACAGGUCCCAGGGUCUAAGGUCCUGAGUGGCGAACUGUCAUAGAAAUUGUGUUCUCCAAGUAGGGUUAAAAUGAUGCACGGGGCAGGUUCCGCAGUUUUCCUCCUAAGCCACAAGACCAACGCUCCAACGGCGUCUUUGACCUUCUUCGGAGCUUGAGGACCCUCCCCCUCCCUUCUCUGCGCACGUGGAAAGGUGAAAAACAGACAGCCACGUGAGACCAACAUAAGCCAUUUUCGGCGGCUUAGCCGUUUCAAGUCCAGGUAUUGGAAACGAACGCUCAGCUGCAGGAAACCGCGGGGCAGACCCACAAAAAGCCUGCCAAUCAGUGGUUGAGAAACAAAACCGCGACGAACUGAAAUGAGCGUCUCCACCUCCCCUCGGCACAAACACUUCCCUUUUCCUCCUCCACCCCGCCCCACCUUCGCAUUCUCUCCGCCCACCGGCUCCGCCUCUCCCGCGCCCCAGUAGAGUCAGGGAGCACGAAAUGAGGGCAGGGCGAUUCCAUCCGGGUGCUCCGUCGGGGAGGGCGUAAGGGCGUGGCUUUAUGACGACUGCGGGGGCGGGGCGAGGAGCCCGCUCGAGAGCCGGGCCCUCCUGACAGAAAGGGCGGAGGGAGAUUGGGUCGGCCCUUUCACGCCCCAUAGAAACUGCAUUCUGGACAAGAGGGGGAGAUGUCUAGUCUCAAACUCAUCUUUUGAGGCAGGAGUGUUAACCAAGAAGCUUCAGCUCGGAGAGUCACCCAUUUCAAAGCUUGCGUACACCCUUUGCCCCUGCUCUUCCUUUCUCCCUCCUUGAGAACCAUGUAAACCUUCCCCCCAGCCCGUUUUCUCUCCCCCUUCGCCCCUGCGCAGAUGGUGGCGGCCCGCGCGGUGCGCAGCCGCAGAGCGUUCGGGGCGGUGCCGGUGAGGGGCGGGUGACGCAGCGGCCGUCGCUGCCAUUUUAAGUUGUUUGUUCUCGCUUCUCGUCUCAAACGCGACUCUGCCCCGGACCUGGGAGGCGCCGAGGCCGCCGCUGUCGCUUCCGCAGCCACCGGUGGGGGGGGAAACCAGGCUGUGCCACCGCGGACGCUCACCCUCCGCUUCGGCUUCUCCCCCCUCCGGGUCUCCUCGACCUUCUUUCCGAGAGCCGGAACUCGAUCCGUGCGGAGAAGAAAGACUCCAGAGCAGAUGCUUGAACUGAAAUAACUUUUUAUUUUGGGGGGUUUUCUUCGCUGACAGACCCCCUUUAGCGCAGGGCUCCCCUCCCCUUCCUCUCAUCCCUCUCCGCCGCCAGUACAAAUCCAACCCCCCCUCCCCCUUCCUCCUCGUUUUUCCUCCUCUCUUUUUCUCUCGCCGUCGCCGCCGUCCCCGCGUUCUUCCCGUCCGCCGCCGCCCGGGGCGCCGAGCCAGACUAUGGGUCCCAGGUGGGGGCUGAGCGGCGGCAGCAGCGCGGGCGGCCCGGUCACAGUGCGCACUGCAGCGGGGAUGGAGGGGUUCAGUUGGCUGGUGGUUUUCUCUUGACAUGGCUCCUGCCCGUGCUGCGAGCAGCGCCCCCACCGCCGCCGCCACCGCUCCGCCCGCAGGCUGCGGCUAGAGGGCCCGAACCCCGCCCGAGAGUCGGUCAGCCAGUCCCGGUCUCCGCGGGGACAGGGAGGGGACUUCCC